rnacentral:tRNA from 1 species
CGUAGCUCAGUGGAUAGAGCAGGCGCCUUCUAAGCGCUUGGCCGGUUCAAGUCUCGCAGC